rnacentral:lncRNA from 1 species
UUAUAUAAUAUUCUCAAAGUGCUGUGAGACAUCCAUUACCACGGCUUGUUUAUAAAAAGGGAAAUGGAGAGGUUACACAAUUUAUCCAAGGCCACAUGCUAGGAAGUGAUGGAGCAGGGAUCCUUAUCAGUUCGAUUCCUAAGUGUAUCCUUUUGCCACGAAACCACUGGAGAUAGAGAGGUAGGUAGGUAGGUAGAGAGAUAGAGAUACAGAUGUAAAAGUGGAUAUACAUGUAGAUAUAGAUAAAAUUUGCUUUUCUGUACAUUAAAACUUGCUUUGCACACUUAUUAGAACGUUCAAACCCUGACAACAACAAAUGCUGGUGAGGGUGUGGAGAAGAAGAACUCUCAUUCAUUGCUGGUGGGAAUGCAAAAGGAUACCUUCACUUUGGCAGAAAGUUUGGUGAUUUCUUACAAAACUAAACAUACCCUUCCCCCAUGAUACAGCAGGUGUGUUCCUUAGUAUUUACCCAAAGGAGCUGAAAACUUAUAUCCACCCAAAAACCUGCACAUAGGAGUUACUGUUGUGGCUCAGUGGAAACAAAUCUGACUAGUAUUCAUGAGGACACAGGUUCGAUCCUUGGCCUGUCUCGGAAGGUUAAGGAUCUGGCUUUGCUGUGGCUGUGGUGUAGGCCAGUGGCUACAGCUCCAAUUCAACCCCUAGCCUGGGAGCCUCCAUAUGCCAUGGGUGCGGCCCUAGAAAGACAAAAACAAACAAACAAACAAACACAGAAAAACCCUGCACAUAAAUGUUUAUAGCAGUUUUAUUCUUAAUUGCCCAAACUUGGAAGCAACCACGAUGUCCUUCAGUGGGUGAAUGGAUAAAUACACUGUGGUCCAUCCAGACAAUGGACUAUUAUUCAGAGCUAAUAGGAAAUGAACUUUCAAGCAAUGAAAAGACAUGGAAACUUAAAUGCACAUAACUAAGGGAAAGAAGCCCAUUUGAAGAGGCUACUCCAGCUUCUGGUACCAAUUCCAAUGUGGGGGGCGGGGGGGGCAGUGUUCUCCACACCAAAGAACAAUUCUCCAGACACCAGUGGGCAUCCUAUAAUUCAACUCAGUCUUCCCAGAGAGGGUACCAAAUUCCACAGCUUAAGGACUCCAUCCUACAAGACAAUUCCCCCUUGCUGCUUCAAAUGCCCAUUCCAACUCCAGCUUGUCACCUGUUCUUCUGACCAACCAGCUAUAGAUUGAAGAUUCCAACUGCCCCCUCCUUGGGUUCCAUUAAUUUGCUAGAGUGGCUGGCUCACAGAACCCAAAGAAACAGUUUACUUACUAGAUUACCAGUUUACUAUGAAAUAACUCAGGAACAGCCAGACGGAAGAGAUGCACAGAGUAGCCUAUGGGGGAAGAGGCAAUGGGCUUCCAUUCCCCGUCUAGCCACCUUCUCACCACCUCCAUGUGUUCACCAGCCCAGAAGCUCUCAGUACUUAAGAGAUUUUUUUUUUAUGUACGUUCCAUUUUAUAGGCGUGAAUGAGUAAAGCACUGGCCACGGUGAUUGAACUCCAUCUCCAGCCCCUUUUCCCUCCCUGGAGUUCAAGAUGGCACUAAAGACUCCUAUUCUCUAAUCACUUGGUUGAUUUUCCUGGCCCUCAGUCUUAGGUGCAGUCCAAGGGUCACCUCAUUCAUACAACAAGUUCACACCUUCAUUGCUCUUAUCGCUUAGCAAAUUCCAAAGAGAUUUGUGACAGAAACUGGGUGAAGACCAAAUAUACUUAUUAUAAAUCACAACAUCACAGCUACAUACUCUCAUACUCUAUCAUUCCAACAAUCUGACAUUCUGGAAAAGGCAAAACUAUCGAAACAGUAAAAAGACAUUUGGUUGCCAGGAGUUGGGAGGGGGGAGGGGCAGACAGGGGAAGCACAAAGGAUUUUUAGGGCAGUGAAAAUACUCUUUAUGAUACCAUAAUGCUACAUGCCCCCAGAGAAGGCCCAUGGAAGCUCUGCAACUUUGGGAAACUUACAUAGUCUCUGAACUUCAUUGCCUGCUAGUCAAAUGGAGACGAUGCCUUAUCAGUCUACAGACAGGGAGACUAGGUAGAUGAGUUUUCUAAAACUCAAAACAAAACAAAAAGCAUUUGUUUCAGUAAAACCUAUCAUACAUAAGUCACUAGAGGUUCCAUUCUGCUACAGAUGCAUCUAUAAAGUAAGAUCCCUACGCCAUCUAAGUGGUGAAUAUUUGAACAACGGGCCAUUUCUUCUCCUAGACAAAGCACACAUGUCCUUAUUCUUUGAAUGUUUCUCUUGUUCAUUGACUGUUUCCACAUCCAGAUGACGAGACUGUCCUUUAUCACCAAAGUAGGCUGAAAACGAUUGGUUCACUGACUAGUAUCUGUGAGGAUGUGGAUUCAAUCCCUGGCCUCACUCAGUAGGUUAAGGAUCCAGCAUUGCUGUAAGCUGUGGUGUAGGUCGCAGACACAGCUCAAAUCUGGUGUUGCUGUGGCUGUGGUGUAGGCCAGCAGCUACAGUUCUGAUUUGACUCCUCGCCUGGGAACUUCCAUAUGCCUUGAUAUGACCCUACAAAGUAAAAAAAAAAAAGAUUGGUUCAGACAUUUCAGGACCUGCAUGCCUCCGAAAUCCCAAGUAAGUCAUGAGAGGAACAAAGCCCCAGCAGAUGGCAAACUGGCUGCCCUAGAAGAGCUGCUGCAGCCUGGGCUUGCCCUCUGCUCCAUUUCAUCAUGGCAGCCUCCAGGGUGGUGCAGUGGGGCAAUAGAUGGCUUUUCUGUCCCUGUUGUAGGACCUGUGCUAUGAAAAGGCCCAACUCUGAUCGUGUGAUACAGCCUCCCCUCCUGUCUGGCCUCUUCUCUUUCACUCCCCUUCCUGCAGUCCGUGGACUCCAACCAAAACAGAGCCAUGUUCUCAACCUACCCUGCAGACAUAGCCAGCAUUCCCAUUCCAGGUCUUUCAUCCACAUGCACUUGUCAACUCUGAGUGUGAGAGCUCCAGGUUUCUUCAGGGCUGAGGCUACGCCUUGCGUUUCUCUAUUGCCCCACAUCUACCAUGCAGGCUGGUAUGUAAGACAAGCUCAACAAUUAUUUUUUUAAUAAAAUGAAAUAGACCAAAAGAGAAGGCUGAUGACUGGAGAAGAUGACAAUAUCACCAGUUGGUGCCAAAAUGUCAGUGCUGCUUUUUUAUCUGGCAACACCAAACCCUUCCAUACACGGUCCACGCACAAGUUGCCUACAGCAAUAUCCAGGCAGGAGAUGAUGGUGAUUUGGACGGUGGUGGAAACCAAGGAGACAGUGGAAAGUGGCCUGAGGAAGAAUCAUCAGGAUUUGGUGACAAAUUAGAAAUGGAGAUGAGAAAAGAGGAGGAAUCUAAGAUAACCUCAAGAAUUUUGACUUAAUUGGGCAGAUGUCCCUUUCUCCUUUGAAAAAUUGAUUUGUCUAAGGGUCAUCACAUCCUCCUUGCCAAUUAUUGAUUUAGGAAAAGACAUGUGACCCUCAUCAUUGCCAAUGGGAUAUGGCAAAACAUCUGUUGGGAGCAUCUUCAUAAAAGAACCACAGGAAGAGAGUCACUUUCUUUCCCUGUGUAUGAGUUUUGUCUGGAUGUGCUACCUGGAACAUCUGUACCACCUUGAUCUCAGCCUGAGGAUGAAACCAACCUAGAAGUUGGCUGAGCUGAGAGGUGGAAAGAACUGACAUCUGGGUAACAUCAGUAAGCCACUGGGUCUACCUAACCUAGCUCUGAACUUCCUCAUUAUGAGAUAUUAUAUUUGUGUAUUAUUUAACAGAGCUAAAGGCAGGAUUUCUGUUACUUAAAACCUAAAUCAUCCUGGUCCAGGACCCUCUUUGGUACGUUUUACAGUUUUAUAGGUUUCUUUUUGGAAUGAAGUACCAAAGGAUUUAGAAAUGUUUCCAAAAUGUCCAAAACAAUCUAUCCUACUUUAUUACACUCUUGGCUGGAGGAAAAAGAUUUGAUAGGAGGAAAAGGGCUGGAAAGGAAAACAAUUCCAUGGUUACAACAGGCAACAAAUUAUUUGUACAUUGAUUUAUGACAUGAAAGGAAACAAAUCAGUUGAGGAAUUGUGAGUGCAAAGCUACGGUGCCCUAGAGCGGUGUUUUGCCAACUGUGGUUUGUGACCAGCUAGUAAGUCAUAUGAACAAUUUAGUGAGUCUAGACCCGGGUUUAAAAAGUGGGGUAUAACAAAGAGAAUAGGACAGAACAGAAAAGAAUAGGAGAGGAGUUCCUACUGUGGCUCAGCAGGUUAAGGACCAAACAUCAUCUCUGUGAGGGUAUGGGUUCGAUCCCUGGCCUCACUCAGUAGGUUAAGGAUCCCACAUUGCCACAAGUUGCAACAGGAAAUUCCAUAUGCUGCAGAUGUGGCCAUUAAAAAGAAAGAAAGAAAAGAAAAAAAGAAAAAGAAAGAAAAGAAUAGAAUGGAAAAUACUAGAGCACCAUAUAAGGAUUAUGAACUUGGAGAACUUUUGUUUCAGUUUUAUACUUCUACAUGCGUCCACUGAGUCACCAUGUAAACUGCAUGCCUGAUGUGGGUCAUGGCCCAAAACAUCUGAGGGAUACUGUCUAAGAACAAAGUGGGGCACUGACCAUACUUCUUUACACACAAUUCUCUAAACCACCAGCAAUAACUGGUUGAACAUCUUUCCUAAUGAAAAAUAGUCUCAUCAUGUGACUGUAGUAACAUAUUCCUUC